UACGGGGGGGGCAAGCGUUGUUCGGAAUUACUGGGCGUAAAGGGCUCGUAGGCGGCCAACUAAGUCAUACGUGAAAUCCCUCGGCUUAACCGGGGAACUGCGUCUGAUACUGGAUGGCUUGAGUUCGGGAGAGGGAUGCGGAAUUCCGGGUGUAGUGGUGAAAUGCGUAGAUAUCCGGAGGAACACCAGUGGCGAAGGCGACUUUCUGGCCUGUUCUUGACGCUGAGGCGCGAAAGCUAGGGGAGCAAACGGG
rnacentral:rRNA from 1 species